GUGGCAUUGAUUUAUUCAGUUGGUAAAGAAGGUUGUUGAUCUCAAUCAGGAACUGAACAUUAGGAUAUUGCCGACUCCAAGGAUCCAUAAUAGGCACCGAAUCACGUCCAUCGUGAUUCUUCUGUUCUGCCUUCCUUAGUAAAGCAACAAUUGAAUGCACUGUCAUUUACUCUUGCAUUGCUUAGGGAUCCUAUGUCAUGAUACUCCUACCCUUCUCUAUCUUGAACUCCGUCAGUAUCUCCGAAAUUAGUAACUUCAGUCAUCAAUAUCUGGAGCCACAUUAAUCAGGAAGUGACAUCUCAGCACAAAAGAAAACACUGAAUGCGAGAACAGUACUAAAGCAAAUAUACAUUAAAAUGAAAGACGUUGCAAAUAAAUUAUUUUGUUGUGUGAUCAGCUUUUUGUAACCACAGACUCAGUAGUAUUCCCACUUUCUAAAGAACAUAAUUCUUAACAUUCUGACUGUAUAUUUACUACAGCUUUCCUGGCAAUUGAUAACUGAACUAAUACAAAUUAACUUAGUUUUAAUAUUUCACUUUUUGAUGUUUGCUCAUGCUCCUCAGAUUUUUCCACCCUGCAGUGCUGGGCAUUAUGCACUGACUGAAAGAAUAAAUG